AUGGGCUUUGUAGGCCAAGUACUCCGUGCUGCCGCCACUCAUACUCUGGUUGUGGAGUGAACGCAGUGACAGACAAAAGGCUAACAAAUGGGCGUGGCUAUGUUCUGAUGAAACUUCAUUUACGAAAACAGGUGCUGGGUUGGAUUUAGCCUGUGGCUGCACUCUGCCGACCUUUUUUCUAGAAGCGUGACCAUGAUCCUCAACUCUACAGUGGUUGGUGGCCUUCUGGGCAGUGGACAAGCUGAUCCAUAGCAUCUGCUACUUGGAUACCCUCAGUGACGGAGAGCUCACUACCUCACAAUGCUUCCUGUCUCACUUACGGACAGUUUCGGCAGGAUUUUGUUUCCUCUGCCUCUGUGUACUUUGCCUUUGCCCUGUGCUAUGGGCGACCCACAGAAUUAGCAUCCACCCCUGUGCUGCGACACUGCAGAGAUGUGAUGAAGAUCGCUGUCCACCCCGAGUCCUUAAAUGGCACAAUUUGGGAGCUGUCUCAACAUCCAGACCAUACCCUUCAGGAGGCACCCAGCAUGCUGAUAUCCUUUGAGAAAAUCUUAAGCUAAACAAAGCGGUUGUGGCGAUUCUGACACAUGUCACAGUUUGAGAACCACUGUCUUAGGCAGUAAGGUAAAUGGAAACAGCAGAUUCCUGGGGAAGAGUCAACUUAAAUUUUAAGGCAGAUACUCGGUGCUCCUACAGAGACAGCCCCGAGAUGUGAGAGUCUUUCUACGUUGGUGUCUUUCUUUAAGAAAUACUGCCUUUUUCUUUCUCUCAACAAAUAAAAUCUUAAAAAAGGGUGGGGGGGCAGUCUGCUUCUCUCUCUGCCUUUCCUCCUGGCUUGUGCU